CCAGGGCAGCCUGUGGUAACAGU
rnacentral:miRNA from 1 species